rnacentral:rRNA from 1 species
GACGAACGCUGGCGGCGUGCCUAACACAUGCAAGUCGAACGAAGCUGUUGAGACUGAUUUCUUCGGAAUGACGAUUCAGCAGACUUAGUGGCGGACGGGUGAGUAACACGUGAGCAACCUGCCUCUCAGAGAGGGAUAACAGUUGGAAACGAUUGAUAAUACCUCAUGACAUGUUUUUGCCGCAUGACGAAAACAUCAAAGAUUUAUCGCUGAGAGAUGGGCUCGCGUCCGAUUAGGUAGAUGGUGAGGCAACGGCUCACCAUGCCGACGAUCGGUAGCCGGACUGAGAGGUCGAUCGGCCACAUUGGGACUGAGACACGGCCCAG